rnacentral:pre_miRNA from 7 species
CCGCUCUCACCCCCUUAUCACUUUUCCAGCCCAGCUUCUUCGCUCUGACUGUUGGACGGAGAACUGAUAAGGGUGUGCGGGUGG